CCCUCGGCCUUUCGGGAAAAAGGGUGGUCUUAGCUUUUGGGGAGGAAAAGGUUAGGGAGGGACAAAGCUGCAGCGCGCGGGCGGGGGGGGGGCACGCGGGAAGCUCCCUCCCCUUGUUUUUGCACAAGUGCAGGGAAUGUUCCACUGACCUACAUAUUCUUCCAAACAUACGUGACCUUUCCUCCUCCCUUCUCUUUGGCUGGGAGGAGACAAGGGACGAUCUAAAAAGAAACCGAGAAUUUGGAUAUGGGUUUGAGAGAGAUCUUUAAAAAGAUGGGUUAAGUAUAAUGAAGAACAAAUUAUACUUUGUUUAUAGAUUCAAUGUGCAUUGCAAACGGAAUAAAGAUCAAACAGACCUAGCAAAUGUAGAGAGUAAGAACCUACAAGAAAGAAGCAGCAGAAGAGAGGUACAGAAGAAAAGGUGAGGCAAGCUACAAAAGAUACCAAGAGAAUUGUGGGGAUAUGGAUCAGAAUUAAAAGAGCUCUAAAAAUUCAGGUCUAGACGCUUUCCAGAUUUUUGAUGUAUGGUGGUCUCAAUGCUUUCUAGUGUUGAGUGGUAACACUUGUAGCUGGUUGUUAUCUGCAAGCCUGUGGAACUGAUGUGUUGGAGCUAUGUUCAACCAGUUUUUAUUAACAACUCUGUUUUUUAUUAAUAUCUCAGAAACAUGUACAAACAAAGAAUGAAUGAAUACCUGAACAAUUGACACCAAAGAUGUGGUAAUAAGCUUCAUUACUCUAAACAGCAGACUGUGGUUAACACACAUGCAGCUCUAAUCUCACCAACAUCACCACAGACACCACACCCUUGGUCAGACUGGCUCAAGGGGUAUUUCCACAAGAGACUCUAUAGUGAAUGUCUGUAUUUACAACCAUGUCUUUAAACUGGCAAGUGUUCACAAAUCAAGCUGAGUAUUCCAUAGAAAUCUGCAAGGUUCUUCACUCCUGGAGGCAUAAGUAGUAACUCCUUGUUUAGUUAUGCGAUGCCACACUAUCAAUUACAGCAAAACAUUUUCACAGAACUCUUUGGGGUGGGGUGGUGGUGGUGGUAGAAUAGACUGGUCUCUUUAUUUAACAUGUGCAUUAUGUUUUGUCUAAUACUCCUUUUGAAAACUAGCCAAUGUACAAUAUAUGGAAGCAUUCCAGAUCCUAAGAGAAGACGCUGUUUAAUGUUAGGUUUGUAACACAAAUGAACAGGGAGGAGGGUGUUUUUUUUUGUUUUUUGUUUUGUUUUUUUAAAGAAUAUCAAGAGAAUUUGGAAUAUCCAGGUGUAAUUAUUUCUGUCUCCAGUUUGAAAGUAUAGGUACCCUUGUUAUCAUUUUUAUUUCCUGUCAAGCACACUUUGCCGUUUUUAAAAAAUACAGGCUUUUAAAUCAGUAUUUAAAAACAAAAAUCUCUUUUCCUCUGGCUCUGUCUCAGCAUUGUUUUGCCUAUGGAACUGGCAAAUAGUGGUUACAUUAUAUUUUGCAAGCUUAAAA